ACUCAAAGGAAUAGACGGGGGCCCGCACAAGCGGCGGAGCAUGUGGAUUAAUUCGAUGCAACGCGAAGAACCUUACCUGGGUUUGACAUGCGCGAGAUGGCUGUAGAGAUACAGUGUCCCUUUGUGGUUCGUGUGCAGGUGGUGCAUGGCUGUCGUCAGCUCGUGUCGUGAGAUGUUGGGUUAAGUCCCGCAACGAGCGCAACCCUUGCCCCAUGUUGCCAGCAUUUGGUUGGGGACUCAUGGGGGACUGCCGGGGUCAACUCGGAGGAAGGUGGGGAUGAGGUCAAGUCAUCAUGCCCCUUAUGUCCAGGGCUUCACACAUGCUACAAUGGCCGGUACAGAGGGUUGCGAAGUCGUGAGGUGGAGCGAAUCUCUUAAAGCCGGUCUCAGUUCGGAUCGUAGUCUGCAACUCGACUGCGUGAAGUCGGAGUCGCUAGUAAUCGCAGAUCAGCAUUGCUGCGGUGAAUACGUUCCCGGGCCUUGUACACACCGCCCGU
rnacentral:rRNA from 1 species